rnacentral:tRNA from 1 species
GAUAGUGUGGCCGAGUGGUUUAUGGCGCUGGUUUUAGGCACCAGUCUCUUCGGAGGCAAGGGUUCGAAUCCCUUCACUGUCA